UACCAGGAGGUGCUGUAAAGUCUCCUUGGAAUCUUCUGUUCUCCAGGCUGAGCAACCCCAGCUGCCUCAGCCUGGAGAGGUGCUCCAGGCCCUUGGUCAUUUUCCUGGCCCUCAUCUGGACUCUCUCCAACAGGUCCACAUCAGAGCUGGAUGCAGCACUCCAGAAUCACAGAAUCAUUUAGGUUGGAAAAGACUAAGAUUGUCAAGUCCAACCUUUGACCAGUCACCAACUUGUCAACUAGACCACAGCACUAAGUGCCGUGUCCAGUUAUUUCUUGAACACUUCCAGGGAUGGUGGCUCCACCUUCAUGAAGGAUUUCUUCCUGCCUGAUGUCCAUCCUGAACCUCCCCUGGCAGAGUUGGAGACUAUGUCAUCUUGUCCUGUCACUCAGAAGAGGCUGACCCCCAAUUCACUACAACCUCCUUUCAGGGAGUUGUAGAGAGCAAUGAGGUCACCCCUGAGCCUUCUUUUCUGCAGGCUAAACAAUCUCAGCUCUCCCAAUUGCUCCUCAUAGGACUGACUCUCUAGAUCCUUCACUAGCUUCAUUGCCCUUCUCUGGCCAUGUUCCAGCACCUUAAUGUCUUUCUUGAUGCAAGAGGCCCAGAACUGGACACAGCAAUGCUUCAAGUUCCAGAUGGAAGUUCAAACUGGUGUUUGCUUUCUAAUUGGUGUUAAUACUUUGGCUUGGCAUAUGUUUGCCUGGUUUCUGAAAAUAUGUUUCAGUUAAAGAGUGACCUAUAGUGCUAAGUUCAGAACUAGGACUUGGCAUGCAGUUUGCCAAAAUAAGAGCUGGAAAUUAUGUGUGUCAGUUUUUGUUCAUACAUCUCUUUAUUUAUCAAUAAUAUUUAUAUAUUGACAUUGAAAUAUUUUACACACAAACAUACACAAACAUGCAUAUACAUUUAGGAGGCAUAACAAUGUACAAUUUGUUGCUAACUGUAACCAUUAUUUGGCAUUGCAGAGAUCUGGCUUAGUCCAGAACAGAAAGGUCUGUAACAGUUUUCUUCUCUGCUACCAAGAAGAUUCUCACAUUCUCUUGUAAGAUACUAAAAUUUGCUAUUAGUUUGACCCCUUCUGUGGUGCCUGGUGAAAUCUGACAGCAAUCAGUUGCUGUUAGUUAGUGGCCAGUUUUUAAACUGUAGCAGGGGUGUAAGAUGCCUCAGGGCAUACUUUGAUCUCAUGUGCUUUAGCAAAAAUGGAACAUCAGGCAGUACAAACAAUAAAGAUAUCCCCUUUAACUUCCUAAAGAGCAUCUUUUAAAUUUGGAACAAAGAUUCACACUAAAUGUUUCUCAUUACCAUUGUCAAUACAAAGCUAAUGUUGGAGACAAUGGUUAGAACAUUAAUCAUGUAGAGAGUGGAGGAAAUGUCCUAGCUAAACUGAGUAAGCGGAGGCAUUCUGGAGAGUGUUUGCUCUAGGAGUUAGUCACCCUUACACAGUCACAGAACUGGCUUCCACUAACACAGAGGUAGUCGGCUGUGGGGUUGACUAUUUUUAGUAGGAAUACAUAAAGAUGACUAACACUGCAUCAUGCCUUGGAGUGAACAUGUAGCAUUUAUCAGAAAUACAUGUUCAACAGAGUUUAAGAAAUACCAUGAGUGACUGUAUCUAUGUCUAAUGAAUUUCUCACAGAGAGGAAGUGAUUGAGCACACAAGGCAACUUCUCCAUACAAAGAAAUAAUGAAUUUUAUGAGCACAGAGGAAGAAAUGCAUCUCUCUCAAAAUGAUCAUCAAGGAAAAGAAAGUAAUGGAAUAAGCCAGAAAGAUCAUUGCAUUCCAAAUUGUCCUGCUAUCUGUCAUUAUGAUUGUGAAGUCCAGUGGAAAUGGGUGUAUAUACGAGAUCAACCAAAUCUCAGUGGGGAAGACAGGAUAUGAGAACUGUGCACUUUGUUUUAAGCAUUUGAAAGAUGUAAAACAUGUAAGGCUCUAAGAUGAGGUGCUGAAGGAGAUACCAAAUACAUUUUUUUUGUGCUAUUAUAUUUUUUAUCGCAUAGAAGAAAUAUGAUUGUGACAACAAUCAGUGGAUGCAUAAAACUAGAAAAAGGAAGAGAAAACAAGGACAAAUAGCAAGGAAGCCCCAUAUUUCUUUCUCCUCCAUGUAUACGCAUCAUACAUCUUUUUAACAGUCAAUAGGGGUGUUGAAGUUCAGCUUCUAGUGCACAAAGAUGUAUAGCAAGUACUCAGUCCACUUGCAUAAAUAUCAGAAUUUAGCACAGUAAAGCACUCAGCCAACUUGUAGGACAACUUGAAGAGAAAAAAGAGAGAAAUAAAAGGAGUGAGCUAAUUCAGAGCAAGCAGACUCUGUCAAGCAAAUGGAAGUAUUCUUUCUUGUUUUGUGUGUAAAUCAUCUGCAGAUUUCUUUCAAUUGCUUCAGUGUGUUCACUUAUUUCUUUUAUUAUUUUAGGAGGAAUAAUUUAUCCUAUUAAUAAUAGGAUAAAUUAUAAAUUUAAAUUAUAAUUUAUUAAUAGUAAUAUCCUAAUAAUAACCAAUAAGUACUACCUACAUAAAUGAGCUUGUCCUCCACACACUGGAAUACUGCACUGUGGGUAGUGCAGUACAUGAGAAUCCAUGGUGACAUGACGACCUUUGCAUCUGCUGGCUUGGCAGGCUUGCUUGAAGCUGACUUGGUUGAACUGCUAUUGAAAUAAUAAAACACAAGCAACAGAAAAGAAAGACACAGAUACACAAGAGUCAUAUGUAGCUUCCAUACAAUGAGGGCUCUGGUUGGAAACUGAAGCUGGCUAAAUAACAUUUGUUGAAAGGUCUGGACAGAAAUUCUGCCACAGGUUGUAUUCCAUGAAAUUCGGUGACUUUUGUACCCUGAUAAAAGUAGAUACUAGAGAGAAUAUAGCUUGUAAAAUCCACAGUCCAAUCAAGUCAACUUUGAUAUUUUCCAUUUACUGUGAAGGGUCUUGAAAAGGUCCUAAAUAUUAAUCUUCUUUUCUUUUUUUUCCCCCCCAGAAACAGCUGUCCUCUCUAUAUGCAAGAGUAUAGUUAUUCAUAUUAAAUCAAGGAUGCGUCUACUUGAAAUUACAUAAAUAGGCCAUCUUCAAAAACAAAAAUAAAAGAAAAAAUAAGAUACCAAUUGUCACAGAUGUGCAUGGAUAAUGCAGGUCUUCUCAUUAGAAUCAUGGAAUUUUUAAGGUUGGACAAGACCUCUGAGAUCAUCAAGUCCAACUUACACGGACACUGUUGUAUUCACCAUUAAACCACAUCCCCAAGUGCCACAUCUACAUGCUUUUUGAACACUUCCAAGGAUGGUGAUUUUACUGCUUCCCUGGGCGUCUGUUCCAAUGCAUGACCUCUCAGGGCAGAAUUUUUUUCUAAUAUCUAAUCUAAACCUCCCCAGUAUAACUUUGUUAAUUUCCAUUUCGUUGUCUGCUUGCUUGUUACCUGUGAGAAAAGACUGACCCCUGCCUUGUUACAACCUCUAGAAUCAUAAAUUAAGGUUGGAAAAGACCUCUAAGAUCAUCAAGCCCAACUGGUAACGCAGCACUGCCUUGCUCACCACUAAACCAUAUCCCAAAGUGCCACAUUAGGGGCCUUGAGAGACACAUAAGAAGCACAGGAUAGUGUAUUGUAGAGUUAAACCUACUCUGUGUGUUACAGACCAUGUGUGGAAGAGCAGACAGUCAAUGAAAUGUCACUGUCGGUUUUCCAGCUGUCUGACACAGGUCCGCUGGAAAAAUAAGGGGAAGAGAUAUAUUUUACAAUUGUUUCAUCUUUGCAGCUGGCUAUGUCUCUGCUACUGCACAUAAAGUAGGGGCUUAGGAGACAAGACAUGCCAUCUUCCCACACAGGAGAAAGAUGACAAAACACAAGAGAAACUGAAAAUAUAGCUCAGGCAAUGAGUUGCUCCUUUGUGACAUUCUCUGCUACAGUAUGGGAAGAAAAUUCAGCAUAUUCUUUUCCUGUAAUGUUCAGCUGUGGAGCUAAUUUCAAAUGAAGCCACACACAUAUCUGUGUACAUCAUUACGAGGGAUGUCCUGUGUUUUAGACCCAAAUUAGCAUCAGUCAUGUAAGGGCACAGUGUCCUCAUUUCAGUUAUAGUAAAUUACUGCAUGAGAAACACUGAAUCUUAAAGUUCAGAUUUAAAGCCUUUGUAGUUAAUUUUUAUCCCCUUGCUCUCUCUGUCUGUAUAUUCAUUUUAGGAUUUUGACUAUGUCAUCAGGCUUUAUUGCAGAACCUCCCUAAACCUUAUUGGGAAUAACUCUUUCCUUUAUAUAAUUUAAAUUGGUAAAUAAAAUAUUAUGUAAGCAACCUUCUGUAAAGACCUUGUCUCAGAAAAUAUGUUUUUUUAUAUUUUGUAAUCAGUAGGAAGUGAUAGCAUAUGAACUCACUCUUCAAUUAUCAAAGAAAGUUUUACAAAUACCAGGAAAGCACAAAAAAUUUUUAAGAAGCAUUCUAGGGUGCAGUAUUCUACUCUUGAAGAAAAAUAAAUCUAUGGACCAGUUGUUGCUUACAAAUAAGCAAUUUUUUUUUUAGUUUGUUUUUGUUCUGUUUUCUAAAGAAAUAUUUUUAUAUUUCUGUUUUCUGAAGAAAUAUUUUUAUAUAACUUUUCUAAAUGGCACUCAUUCUGGAGAAUUUUCUUUAUUUGCUGCAGUAAUGUUUAUGUCCUCUUUUGGAAGGGCCUAAACACUUUGUAUCUAUCCCUUACAUCUCUCGCUUCAGUACGGCCAUCUCUGAGGGGCUAUACAGAAACCAUUGUAGUAGUAGCAAAAAUAUUCACUAAUGGAUUAAAUAAUAACUCCUCUUUUAUUACUUCUGCCCUAAUAAUAUAUUAGUUGUUUAGAUGAUUGCAUACUGAGAAACAUCUGUCAGCACUGUUUUUUAGUAAGUCAAAAUCUGUAAACGUAGCUGGUCUUAUCUUGCUAUAAAUGCUAUUUGUCAAAUUUAUCAUCUUUCCAUAAAUCUCUGAACAUACAACUUAUGACGAGAUCACUAUAAACUUGAAUAGCUGUGAUUUUCUAAGAAACGGAUGAACUGGAGAAUGUAGGAGAGAAGAGACGAUUUUCCCAAGCUGUGCACAUUCUUAAUAUGCAUAUAUAAUUUUGGGCCCUGCUGCUUGCUUCUUUUUGUUUUAAACAAGUCUUUGUUCCUGUUUCUAGACUGAAACUAUGUCAGAUGCAAGGAGGGGACCAAGCUGACAAAUUCAGAUACCAUCAUCUUAGUGACUCAGAGAAAUACAGUAAAAAUGGUUCUACACUGCCUGCUAGAUCUCCUUUAACCCCAUUAGAAAAACAGUGAAGUGUUUAAAACAGGGCCAAAGAGAUAAACAAGGAAAGCAGAAAGGAGCUUUAUUAUCUUGUUCUUACUGUCUUUAGCAGUAAAUAUACUGGAAGAAUUUGAAUUGUAAUUUACUGAUGUAUUGAAUUCAUUUGUCAUCCUUUGUCUCAGUGAAUAAAACAGAGCUGUGCAGGAUUCAGGUAUAUUGUAAAAUCAAAGAAAAAGCUUCAGCUGAAAUACAAUCACAUUUUUGCCUUAAACACAUAUGGUUGACACUACUAAACAUAAUGCAUCGCUGAGUCAUACAGAAUAGCAAAACACAUUUAUUUUUCUCUAUAUUUUAUAUUUGUUUAUGUUCACUUUUGACAGCAUUUUUGCUGUUUUUCAUAUAUAGUCUGUCCCCCCUGUUGCUUUGUGGAUCUUUCAGACAGCACAAAGGAUGUUAAGGACAAGGUUCUGAGUCAUACUCCAGCUUGAAAUAUCCUAAUUUUCUUUUUAAAGAUCUAAGAUUUCAAUAACUCUGAUACUUUAUGUAACGAAUAGUAACUUUAAAUGCACACAAGCUACUAGAAUGAUACAUUGUGUUUGGCUUUUGCUUAUUCUCCUUCUACUAAAUCAAUUUACAUAAUCAAAGCCUAAUAUAAAUAUGUAUCAUCUUGAAUGCUUACCUGUGAGAUCAGUCAAUAUUGCUCUUCCUUUCUCCCACCAUAGGAAAAUAAAGGUCAAGAAAUAUCUUCAUAUUCAAACCUACAACAUAUUUAAUUACAUUCUCAGACUUAAGAAAAUUCUCUCCAUUUUAGGCCUUUUUACAAGUGUAUUACCAUACUGAACUUCUUACAGAGUCCAUUAAUUUUUUUUCCUAAUUUAAAUGCCCUGAAGAGUUCAGAUAUUCUUCCAUUCCCCCUUCCCAACAAUGACCUGAGCAGGAUGUAGCCUACUACAGAGACCAGAUUUAUUUAAAAAGCCAGUUUCCAUCAGGAAUCCUUUUAACUAAAGAGAAGCAAUCAAAUACAAAUUAAACUGUUCUACCUGUUACCUGGGAAAAAAGCAGAAUUUGAAAUUUACUUCUCAAAGUAAUUACCUGGAUCUAACAGACAGGACUUGGACUAAAUCUUGCCUGAGACAGGCUUUCUGACACAAUAAUUAGCCCAAAAGAAAAGAAAACAACCAACAUAAAUUCCCCCAAACUUAAUGUGUGUAUCAGGUAAUAGAAGCUGAAACUAGAGGGGAAAGAAAAGAGUUCUCAGGAUUUUCCCAUCUCAAGUGGACUAAUUUUACUGUGGCCACUGCAUUCAGCAGCAGUGGUCUGUGCCACAGAUUGGUGACGCUCUUAUCAGCCUUGAACUUUUAAUCUAAUUCUUUCUACUGGAGAGAAAUUCACUCACUUCAUGGAAGUUGGGAUCUGUUAAUAUGAAUCUAACAAAGAGAGAAAAAAAUCCCCUUAAAAUUAUUGAUAUCAGAUGGGAAAACUGGAAGAAACUUUGUACAGUCUUAAAUUAAUGUAUGUGCAAUACUGAGGAGAAAGGAGUGUGGAUCUUUAACUCAUGCCCGAAGGUGUUGCAAUGAUUCAGAUAAGACUGAUAAAAAACAGCUGUCCCUGACAUUUUUGACAGCUUUUUUUGGCCAGUGAGAUUUUGAUUUUUUUUACUAUUGUACUUCUGUGCUUGUAAGCUUUUGAAGAUAUGUGAAGCAAAUAACAUCAGGAUCUUGCAUAGAUGAAGAUGAUAUGUCUUUUGAUGAUAUGUAUAGAAGCUGUCCAAAAUUCAGUAAAACCAUAAUGCCUGUGACUGAUAUCCGAUUUGUUUGUGACCCCGAGUUGAAAAGGAACAGUAUUCUCUACACCCAUGUAUUUGUUUCAGUUUUUCACUUGUAAUUUCACUUUAUUAUAAAAUUCAGAGUACUCCAUUGACAGUCAUAUUGAUUUCUUACUUGGACCAAAGUAGACGGAUGCUGGUAGUCCCUAUGAUUAAGGAGGUAUAACUGCUUCAAAAGAUAAAAAAUCCUUUGGGUGUUCCAUUUGCUGGACUCCAUGAGGCUACAAGAAGAAUUAAGACAACUCUGCAGCACUGCAUCAUAUUUCACAGGCUGCUACAGUACAAAUUUCAGUUAACUAACUAUGUGUACUCCAAUUUAUGGCAGGAAUUGUAAUACACUUUAAGUAUUAAAGUUUGGAGUAUUGCCAUCCUUUCAUACUCCUGCACAUAUGGCACAGGUUGAACUAGAGAAUUUUACUGAAAAAGGUGCUUAGGCAGAAGUGUAUUCUAGAAUGUUAAAUACAAUAAAGAUAAUGAAUACAAGAACUCUCUACAGAUGAAAAUAACAGAACCAUUCUGUGCUGCUAAGGAAGACACACUAAUUUGGCAGUCAGAAGAGCCUUACUUCAAACUGCCACCAUAGCUGCAUAAACUACUUGAAAAAAUAAUUUGUUAAGCUUUUCCAUUUACAAGUGAGAAUGAUGAUUCUGUUCUAAUUUCACAAGCAUGAAGAUACAAAAAUUUUUAAAGUUUUUAUGAAAUACUUUCUUCAUCUAACUACCAUGUCUGAAAGUAAACAGAUACUACAGAAAAUGCAACAAAAUACUUAAACAAUUGCCAUGUUUAAAUAUGUCAUAUUAUGCUGAUGAAGGCCUAGUCUACAAAGCUGCUAGAUGCUUUAGAUAUUUAAAUAAUAUCAAUCUUUUUCUGGGAAUUAUACAAACAGUUAAUUAUUAUAAGUUGGUUUUAUUAUACUGUCACAACAGUCACAAAAUGACUUACUUAUAUCUCUGUUUACUAAUAAGUUCAGCCAAUUCAGUGCUGUAAAAGAACUUGUUUGAGUUUUACACAGUGAGACUAGAGUAACCUUUUUUUCCUGUCUGGUGGUUCUGUGGUAAUUCAGUAUCACCACAUCUCACCCACCCUGCUUUGUUAGUGGAUGAUGACAGAAUUGCCACAAAGAGGAGAGAGAGAGGUAGAUUAAAAACCCUCAGGCUGAGAAUGACAUUAGCUCUCCAUCACCCAUGUCUUAAAAAAUGUCACUGACCAUUAUCCCAAACACAACCAACAGGAAGUCAACUUCUGUUUUCUGUGUAAGAACAAGUAUGGGAUAAUCUCUUUUAUAAAAGGCUCAUGGUUCUGAAGUGUUAAUGGGCAGAGACUGAAUUUUAACAUACAGCCUUACAGCAUAUUCUAAAGAGAAACAAGGUUUCUGGAAGUUUGAGAAACAGAGCCAAUAUAAUAGGAAGACAUUGAGAACACGGCAGACUGAACUCUUAGAUUUGUAGCUCAUUUUGAAUCUCCUGCAUGUGGCAAGAAAUAAAUAUUCACAAAUCUCUGCAUAGCAAAACCAUCAAGUUUCAUCUGUCCCAAAUCUGCAUAAGGAAUUUGAGGUGAAUCUAAGUCCAUGGCUAGCAUUUGCUGCUGCAUUUAAUUUUAAUAAGACACAGACAGGAAAAAUAUACUAAAAAUAUACUCUUCUUUUUGUUUUUUGCUUUUUUGCCUUUUUUAAAAAUUUCUUUUUUGACAGAAGAUACAGCAUUCCUCAUAAGGUUUCAACUGUUACAAAUGCCAUAGUCAUAUAAACAUAUUGCAUUGCUUUGAGUUACCUGAGGAUUUACAUUUCCUUUUCCAGGCGUCUUUUAAAGCUCCCCCUAAAUAAAUUAAGGCAUUAUUUCCUUGAUUGUAGGCAUUAUUUCCUUGAUUGGUCAUUAGACUCUACAAAGUAAGCUGUCCUUCAUGGGUAAAAGAUAAAAGCAAAAGCUUGUCAGACAAGUAACAGAAACUCUCUAAACACCAUUAAGUGAAAAUAUUGCCCAUUUUUUUCAGUAAGUUACCAUGAAGCACAUGAUUAUGAUUAUUCUAAAGCCAUGCUUCAUUUAGAUAAGUAAUCAACUCAAUGGAAUUGUCUUUAUAGAACUACUGAACUAAAUCUAGUCACACAUGUAAGCUUUAUUAAAUGAGAAAACAUCUGCUACACUGAUGCGCCAGCAUAAAGUGUACCAUGGAUAUGCAAAUUAAAAUUACAGCAGCUGGAAAUCUUUAAAAUAAAAAAAAAAAAAAAAAGAAUUUGAGCAGGUAGUAAGGAAAUGUCAAACUGAGGAAGUAUAAAUUACUUCAACUUUUAACAGCAACUUGUUAAAUUAGUUCUCCAGUUAAAAGAACCUCAUAAAUUUGAUCCUUAAUUAAAUGUUGAUACUAAUAAUUCAGACUGUAUUAGGGUAUCUGUCACAGAAAUUUUAAUUUUUAAGUUUUUUAUUACUUUACAAGUAUUUAAAAACUGUUAAAUACUUUUUCUGCACAGAGGUUAUGGUAAACCCUGAAUGGUGUAUAGACAUGGCUGCCAAAAGCAGCUACUGGAAUGCAUAAAGACUUAAAUUCCUUGUAAAGUCUGAGUUUCAGAGUCUAAAUCAAUUUGGAAACUGUAGACAAAUACUAAGCUAAAUAAAAUUCUGAUUUGAUAUUUUCAUAGCAAGGAAUAAAUAUAGGUACUUGCACUGGACAAGUGUAGCCCUUGUUGUUAUCAAAAUAAAUGCUAAUGAUAUUCAGAAAGUACAGGAUUUGCAAUCACACCAGCAUUUUCCCCUUCAGUAAGGGUAUCUUUAACUAGAUUUCAGAUGUUUCUAUAAUUUAUCCUGUAUAAUCCAGUAAUUACCAACAACAAAGGCUAGAAGACAAAAGCAAUCAACACGGCAGCUUUAGAGUUAAGGACAAACAACAUGUGGUAUCAAGAACGCAGAACUGAAAACCAGGCUCUGGCUGAGUUCUCCUUUUGUGGUUUGUGCUUGUUGUGUUGCCUCCUUGCUUGCCACAGUCUGACAUGAGCCUUCCCAGCCAAGGUUCUAUCAGCACGUCCUGGCUGAGUACCAACCACCAGACGCAGGCAGGGAAGGUGCACUCCCAUCGAUGCUGCGCAGGCAAAGCAAGCCUGAGCUGAAAUUGUCACUGGAUGAGUGCAGCUGUGCUCUGCUUCAUCAAAUAGCAGCAAGAUCAAAAUGACCAUCUGCAAGACCUUUUCUUUUGUCUCCUCAAGUCUUUAUUUAGUGGUGCAGGGAUUGGCUUCUCUUGGAAUCAUUCUGUGGGAAUGAUUUAGCCUACAAAUUGCAAAACCAUAGCUUCUGCCCUGAAACUGGGGACUCAGCAGGCUUGUACUGAGAAGCUUUAGGUAACAUUAAAUUGAUUUCAUUAAACUCGGACUUCUGUCUUCUCAUGAAUUAGCAGAAGAUGUUUUAGAUUGAAAUGUAUAACUUUGAAACCAAGAAAAAUGUCUCCCAUUAUUAUAAAUACUCAGAGCUGCAGACUCCAAAAAACAUGAAAUCAGCAAUUUAACAGAUUUGGAAUUAUCUUAUGGUUGUGGUGUUUUGGUUGUUUUUCUUAUAAAGAGACAGAACAUGUAUAAAAGAAUGAGAAAAUAACUGGUAAAAAUAUUAUCCAGGUUUUAUUUAAUGCUUCAUAGUAAUGAAAUCAAACAGUGUAAUGUAGUCUAAAAAAGAUGGAGUAGAAAAGAAAACAAGGGUAGUGUAGAAUGGAUGCAAAAGAAUUCCACCAGUCACAAACUAAUAGGUAGCUUUCUUUACCAAUUAUCUAAAUUUUUAGAGGGAUUCUCAUUCUGCUAAAGUCAACCUGGGCUCAAAAUUUUGAAUAUCUUAUUCCAUAAAAAUGAAAAUUCAAAGGAUUUAGUGUCCCUGUGUGUGGGAGUUUAAACUGAUUUCAGUAAGAGAUGUUUUGGUCUGACAUAAUUACAGCAAUGUGUUACAA